CCUACGGGAGGCAGCAGUGAGGAAUAUUGGUCAAUGGGCUUACGCCUGAACCAGCCAAGUCGCGUGAGGGAAGACUGCCCUAUGGGUUGUAAACCUCUUUUGUCAGGGAGCAAUUGGCGCUACGUGUAGCGUUAUCGAGAGUACCUGAAGAAAAAGCAUCGGCUAACUCCGUGCCAGCAGCCGCGGUAAUACGGAGGAUGCGAGCGUUAUCCGGAUUUAUUGGGUUUAAAGGGUGCGUAGGCGGAAUGCCAAGUCAGCGGGAAAAUCGCGGGGCUCAACCUCGCUCCGCCGUUGAACCUGGCGUUCUUGAGUGGGCGAGAAGUAUGCGGAAUGCGUGGUGUAGCGGUGAAAUGCAUAGAUAUCACGCAGAACUCCGAUUGCGAAGGCAGCAUACCGGCGCUCAACUGACGCUCAUGCACGAAAGUGUGGGUAUCGAACAGGAUUAGAUACCCCAGUAGUC
rnacentral:rRNA from 1 species